AGAGUUUGAUCCUGGCUCAGGACGAACGCUGGCGGCGCGCCUAAUCCAUGCAAGUCGAGCGACGCAUGCCUUAGCCCGUAAGGGCGGGUGUGACGGAGCGGCGAACGGGUGCGUAACACGUGACCAAUCUGCCCCGAAGACCGGGAUAGCCCGGGGAAACCCGGAUUAAUACCGGAUGAUCUCACCAUCACGCAUGUGGAGGUGAGCAAAGGUUCAGGCGCUUCGGGAUGAGGUCGCGGCCCAUCAGCUUGUUGGUGAGGUAACGGCUCACCAAGGCAAUGACGGGUAGCUGGUCUGAGAGGACGAUCAGCCACACUGGAACUGAGAUACGGUCCAGACUCCUACGGGAGGCAGCAGGAGGGAAUCUUGCGCAAUGGGCGAAAGCCUGACGCAGCGACGCCGCGUGGGGGAUGAAUGCCUUAGGGUUGUAAACCCCUUUCACGAGGGAAGAAACUGACGGUACCUCGAGAAGAAGCCCCGGCCAACUACGUGCCAGCAGCCGCGGUAAUACGUAGGGGGCGAGCGUUGUCCGGAUUUAUUGGGCGUAAAGGGCUCGUAGGCGGCUUGGCAAGUCGGCCGUGAAAACCCAGGGCUCAACUCUGGGACGCCGGUCGAUACUGCCAUGGCUAGGGUCCGGUAGAGGGGAAUGGAAUUCCCGGUGUAGCGGUGAAUGC
rnacentral:rRNA from 1 species